AAAUAUCAACCUUGACUUGGGUUUUGUGCUCGAGUCUUGGCUUGGAUGUGGGUGCUUGCCGCUUUAACGAGCGGCUCACCUUAAAUGUAUUAGCUGGAUCUGUCUUUGAGACUUGGUUUGACUUGGCGUAAUAAGUAUUUCGCUAAGGACAUUCUUCGGAAUGGCCUCGUUUCUGGGACGCUUGUCCGCUUUCCAAUACAAGUUCCAUUCGUGGACAUGACUUUUUAUU
rnacentral:misc_RNA from 2 species